AAUGAACGCUGGCGGCGUGGAUAAGACAUGCAAGUCGAACGAGAAACUGAUUAGCUUGCUUUGAAGUUUCUAGUGGCGGACGGGUUAGUAACACGUGAGCAACCUGCCUCGAAGCGGGGGAUAGCCUUCCGAAAGGGAGAUUAAUACCGCAUGUGACCUUCGGGUUAAAGACGCCUUUGGUGUCACUUCGAGAUGGGCUCGCGGCCUAUCAGCUUGUUGGUAAGGUAACGGCUUACCAAGGCGACGACGGGUAGCUGGUCUGAGAGGACGAUCAGCAACACUGGAACUGAGACACGGUCCAGACACCUACGGUGCAGCAGUCGAGAAUCAUUCACAAUGGACAAAGUCUGAUGGUGCAACGCCGCGUGGAGGAUGAAGGCCCUAGGGUCGUAAACUCCUGUCAUAUGAGAGUAA
rnacentral:rRNA from 1 species